rnacentral:rRNA from 1 species
UGGGGAGUACGGUCGCAAGGCUGAAACUUAAAGGAAUUGGCGGGGGAGCACAGCAACGAGAGGAGCGUGCGGUUUAAUUGGAUUCAACGCCGGAAAACUCACCAGUGCCGACGGACAUAUGAAGAUCAGCGUGAUGAGCUUAUUGGAUUGUUCGAGAGGUAGUGCAUGGCCGUCGUCAGUUCGUACCGUAAGGCGUUCUGUUAAGUCAGAUAACGAACGAGACCCCUAUCGUCUAUUUGCUAAACGGAUCUCCGGAUUCGUCGCACUAUAGCGAGACCGCUGGCGUGAAGUCAGAGGAAGGUGGGGGCAACGACAGGUCAGUAUGCUCCGAAUGCACUGGGCUACACGCGCGCUACAAAGGCCAGGACAAUGGGUCUGCCACUUCGAAAGAAGGCGCUAUCCCGAAACCUGGUCGUAGUUCGGAUCGUGGGCUGUAAUUCGCCCUCGUGAAGCUGGAUUUCGUAGUAAUCGCGUCUCAAAAUGGCGCGGUGAAUAUGCCCCUGCUCCUUGCACACACCGCCCGUCAAACCAUC